GGCACCCGGCCACCCCCUGACGAGUCCACUUUUGUUUGCGAGCUUGGCCGCUAGCGUGACGCUUAUCGGGGCGAGGCCACGGAAACGAGUAGAAAGCUAGAAGUGUCCCUGACAGUACGUUACAAGCGAAAUUAAUUGUAUUCUUUCGUUAUAGGUGACCGUAGGACUGUCGAUUGCAAGGACGUUGUUUCCUGUCUCAACGGUCACGCAUGCGCGUGCAAAAUUGCAACUGCUUCUCACAUGAAGCGUGUCUGGGUGCCACUUGCUUGGACAAUUGUUCGUCAGCCAUUUCGUUUGAGGAACUGUCGUGUUCGUCAGUAAGGGUGAGCUUGAUUGAGCUUUGCAGUGCCAGCCUGUUCGAAGUUUCGAGGAUUGUGUGUUCGACGUUUGGAGGACUGCCUGGUGCAUCGGCUGUGUUGUGUGUCCGUGCAACGUGUGCUCCAUGCAACGUGUGCUCCAUAUGUGUGUGUUGGGAUUAGUAGAUCGUGUUUGCUUUCCUUUUCGGCAAACUAUGAUGUACUGGAUGCAAUUUUAAGGUACGUGAAAGCCAAUAAAUUUUUGUGUUUCAUGUUCGA